UUCUGUUUGAUCCUGGCGGAGGUUACUGCUAUCGAGGUUCGACUAAGCCAUGCGAGUCGAAUGUAGCAAUACAUGGCGUACUGCUCAGUAACACGUGGACAACCUACCCUUAGGUCGGGGAUAAACCCGGGAAACUGGGUAUAAUACCCGAUAGUCCUCGAAUGCUGGAAUGCAUCGAGGUCUAAAGCUCCGGCGCCUAAGGAUGGGUCUGCGGCCUAUCAGGUAGUAGUGGGUGUAGCGUACCUACUAGCCUACGACGGGUACGGGUUGUGAGAGCAAGAGCCCGGAGAUGGAUUCUGAGACACGAAUCCAGGCCCUACGGGGUGCAGCAGGCGCGAAAACUUUACGAUGCUGGCAACAGCGAUAAGGGGACCUCGAGUGCCAGGUUACAAAUCUGGCUGUCGUGAUGCCUAAAAAGCAUUGCAUAGCAAGGGCCGGGCAAGACCGGUGCCAGCCGCCGCGGUAACACCGGCGGCUCGAGUGGUAACCGUUAUUAUUGGGUCUAAAGGGUCUGUAGCCGGCCGGAUAAGUCUCUUGGGAAAUCUGGCAGCUUAACUGUCAGGCUUUCAGGAGAUACUGUCUGGCUCGAGGCCGGGAGAGGUGAGAGGUACUUCAGGGGUAGGGGGAAAUCUUGUUUCCUGAAGGACCACCA
rnacentral:rRNA from 1 species